rnacentral:rRNA from 1 species
AUUGAACGCUGGCGGCAGGCCUAACACAUGCAAGUCGAGCGGUAGCGAGAAGCUUGCUUCCUUUGAGAGCGGCGGACGGGUGAGUAAUGCCUAGGAAUCUGCCUGGCAGCGGGGGAUAACGUUCGGACACGGACGCUAAUACCGCAUACGUCCUACGGGCGAAAGCAGGGGACCUUCGGGCCUUGCGCUAUCAGAUGAGCCUAGGUCGGAUUAGCUAGUUGGUGGGGUAAUGGCUCACCAAGGCGACGAUCCGUAACUGGUCUGAGAGGAUGAUCAGUCACACUGGAACUGAGACACGGUCCAGACUCCUACGGGAGGCAGCAGUGGGGAAUAUUGGACAAUGGGCGAAAGCCUGAUCCAGCCAUGCCGCGUGUGUGAAGAAGGUCUUCGGAUUGUAAAGCACUUUAAUUUGGGAGGAAGAGCAGUAAAUUAAUACUUUGCUGUUUUGACGGUACCGACAGAAUAAGCACCGGCUAACUCUGUG